GGSGGAGGUAGCCAAGUGGAUCAAGGCWGUGGAUUGUGAAUCCACCAUGCGCGAUGUU
rnacentral:tRNA from 1 species